rnacentral:lncRNA from 1 species
UGUACUCUUCCCACAUGCUUUACAAUAACAAUUUACAAGCCUUAGAAACAACCAUAGAAAGACAAAAAAGGACUUACAGGUUUCAUUAUCAUUUUGAGAAAAAGCGUGAUGCAAAAAAUUUCAUUUUCAUAAACAAAUUGCUCUUUGUUGAAGGCAAAUUCUCAAGACCUCAUGGUUUUCCAUCAGUAAUAUUCACUUCCCUGCUCAAUAAUCUCCCUUGCAAGCAUCAAAUAGAAAAACUUGAUUUUUGCUUACUGUAAAGGUU